rnacentral:rRNA from 1 species
UGAGGAAUAUUGGUCAAUGGACGAAAGUCUGAACCAGCCAUCCCGCGUGCAGGAUGACGGCCCUAUGGGUUGUAAACUGCUUUUGUAUACCAAGAAACGCCACUACGUGUAGUGGUUUGACGGUAGUAUAUGAAUAAGGACCGGCUAACUCCGUGCCAGCAGCCGCGGUAAUACGGAGGGUCCAAGCGUUAUCCGGAUUCAUUGGGUUUAAAGGGUGCGCAGGCGGGCUUGUAAGUCAGUGGUGAAAUCUUGCCGCUUAACGGUAAAAUUGCCAUUGAUACUGCAAGUCUUGAAUAUGGUUGAGGUAGGCGGAAUGUGUUGUGUAGCGGUGAAAUGCAUAGAUAUGACACAGAACGCCGAUUGCGAAGGCAGCUUACUAAGCCAUUAUUGACGCUGAGGCACGAAAGCGUGGGGAGCGAACA